rnacentral:rRNA from 1 species
GAUGAACGCUGGCGGCGUGCCUAAUACAUGCAAGUCGAGCGAACAGACGAGGAGCUUGCUCCUUUGACGUUAGCGGCGGACGGGUGAGUAACACGUGGAUAACCUACCUAUAAGACUGGGAUAAUUUCGGGAAACCGGAGCUAAUACCGGAUAAUAUAUUGAACCGCAUGGUUCAAUAGUGAAAGACGGUUUUGCUGGCACGUAUAGAUGGUUCCGCGCCGCAUUAGCUAGUUGGUAAGGUAACGGCCUACCAAGGCGACGAUGCGUAGCCGACCUGAGAGAGUGAUCGGCCACACUGGAACUGAGACACGGUCCAGACUCCUACGGGAGGCAGCAGUAGGGAAUCUUACGCAAUGGGCGAAAGCUUGACGGAGCAACGCCGCGUGAGUGAUGAAGGUCUUCGGAUCGUAAAACUCUGUUAUUAGGGAAGAACAAAUGUGUAAGUAAAUAUGCACGUAUUGACGGUACCUAAUCAGAAAGCCACGGCUAACUACGUG